rnacentral:rRNA from 1 species
UACGUAGGGUGCAAGCGUUGUCCGGAAUUAUUGGGCGUAAAGAGCUCGUAGGCGGUCUGUCACGUCGGCUGUGAAAUCCCGAGGCUCAACCUCGGGUCUGCAGUCGAUACGGGCAAACUAGAGUAUUGCAGGGGAGACUGGAAUUCCUGGUGUAGCGGUAAAAUGCGCAGAUAUCAGGAGGAACACCGGUGGCGAAGGCGGGUCUCUGGGCAAUAACUGACGCUGAGGAGCGAAAGCGUGGGGAGCGAACAGG